UGUCUGCUGAGCUUUUACAAGUGAUCUGCCCAAUGUGUUCAUUACAUUUAGAUAUUUAAAGUCCUUUUAACUUUUUCCACCACAUAAGAGUCUACCAUGCUUUGUCAAGCAGAUUUUGUGUGCAGUGCAAAUAUCGUGGUUGCAAUCAGUUUACUACAAGUACAGUUUUUUAAGCGUCACUGGAACAAGAAACAUGGGAGUGUUCAUGAGGAAGUUCCAGUUAAUGGUGAAUAUCAUGGAUUAACAUUAACACUUAAGUGACAAGUAACUAAUUUGUGUAUUACUAUUGUUUCAGUAAAUCAGGAAGUACAGGAAGAAACAUACACCAACCCCAGCGACGACGAGGUCACUGCCGUAGAGGCCAAAGAAAGCGAGGCCGAGGCUAAAGCAAAAAAGGCGUUCCUUCAGAGACGUAGUCUAAUAAACAAGGAAGGAUCAAAACUGACAACGAAAAAGUGCUUGGAAAUUGCACCAUGCUACGAAACAAUAAAAGGGGUGAUUGCAGGUUUGAUGAGAAUGGAGCCGAUGUGCAACAUAACACAAACAAUUUACGAAACAAAUUUCAAUGAAUUGAUAGAAAAACUCCGGGAUUUCUUGAAAUCUAAACAUCCGUCUUCCUAUAAUCCUGAAACGACUGGUGAAAAGGGCGUUUUAGAAGUUCUACUGGGGAUAAACCACAUUUGUUCAACCCGGAAAGGACGGUCAUGACCACCAUCAUUCCUAAAUUUCAAAGUUGGUACCCCAAUUGAGCCAUUGAAGAAUGGAAUAAAUCCGUAUGGUAUCUUAAUUUGGAAUAAGGAUGAGCUGAUGAUGAUGAUAUUGGCAGAGGGCUACUUAAACUACAAAAACAUCCCUGUCACUACUAUUUGUGAAGCGAUUUCCAAAAUACUUGCCAUGUACUAUGUCAUCAACUUAAAUUAUCCCGCACCCUACGGUGCCCUCGAGUUAAUUGAUCACUUUUAUCUUAUCGACAAAAAAUCAAGCCGCAAUCAGGCGAAAAAGAAGUCCAAGAAAGAAGAAAGUACCCUCGCCAUGAAGAAAUUUCUUAACGUGUUCGACAAAUUUUGUAAAUAAUCACACACAUCUCCAUUCAUGCAGUUAUAGCGAGGUUAGCAACAGGUAGCUUAAUACUUGCUAGUUUGUGUGUAUUUCUUCGUUUACGUUUAUAUUCCUCGACGUUAAGUUAACCGUUAACUAAUUUGUUUCAAAUGGGUUUGAAACUCAUAUUUGUCUUGCUUAUUGUAUAAUCUAGUUAUGUAUGUAAUGUGCCUUUGUGUCAUCC